UACAGAGGUCCCAAGCGUUGUUCGGAUUCAUUGGGCGUAAAGGGUGCGUAGGCGGUGCCGCAAGUCAGAUGUGAAAUCUCGGGGCUUAACCCCGAAACUGCAUUUGAUACUGCGGUGCUCGAGGACUGGAGAGGAGACUGGAAUUCACGGUGUAGCAGUGAAAUGCGUAGAUAUCGUGAGGAAGGCCAGUGGCGAAGGCGAGUCUCUGGACAGUUCCUGACACUGAGGCACGAAGGCUAGGGGAGCAAACGGG
rnacentral:rRNA from 1 species